GUUUUAAUAGUUUAAAAAAAACGCCGGUCUUGUAAACCGAAAUUAAGAAAAGUCCCCCCUUUUAAAACU
rnacentral:tRNA from 1 species